GGCGGCAUGGCCUGCUCAGAGCUGUGUGUGACUGGGCUUGGCACUCUGUUGUCCUGGGCUCCACAAAAGGUUCCCACGGAGGCGCUUCAUGGCUUUAGAACAAUUGAUAAGCCUACCAUGUUCUUUUUGUUACACAAACCCCAUAUCAGAGCUGGGAAAUCUUUAACAGCUUUGUGGAAAUCCUGGGUUCAGGAAACAUGGCUGAAGAGCGGGUAGUGAGGAUUGAAGAGCCGGAGGACGGAGAAGAAGGUCAUGAAACAUCGCCAUUGCGACCCUCAACACACAGUAGCUAUGGAUCCCUUCAUAAGAUUCCACCAUGGAUAAAGGAUGUGCCCGGGGGUCCAUCCCUACCCGAAGA